rnacentral:lncRNA from 1 species
AUGAGCAUCACACAUAUGUGAGAUCUCUGGAAGCUUGACACCUACAACACUCAUGUCCUUUCAGAACUUGGAGAUCACCUUCUUUUGAGCUUUGGUGAGGACCCUUUGUGGAAAUGGGAGCUUAUCAUAAGGUGACUGCUCAACCUCAGUGGCUCCUUCCAACUUAACUUCCUUUAGCCUCUGCACAGCCUCUCUUUCAACUUGUUUCUCAGCCUUGUGCUCAUCUCUCUUCAGAAUCUCUACUGCAACCUUCGGUUCAGCUUGUGCCUUAACCCUCUCCAUAGCCUUGUGUUCAGUCUUAUCCACAAUCUGUGCUGCAGUCUGGGAAACAAAUUUUAUUCCAUACAAGAGGCUUUCAAUCUGAUCCACCUCUUUCUCAUGAUCACUCAACUCAAUCUCAGAAGAA